rnacentral:rRNA from 1 species
AGAUUGAACGCUGGCGGCAGGCCUAACACAUGCAAGUCGAGCGGUAGAGAGGUGCUUGCACCUCUUGAGAGCGGCGGACGGGUGAGUAAUGCCUAGGAAUCUGCCUAGUGGUGGGGGAUAACGUUCGGAAACGGACGCUAAUACCGCAUACGUCCUACGGGAGAAAGCGGGGGACCUUCGGGCCUCGCGCCAUUAGAUGAGCCUAGGUCGGAUUAGCUAGUUGGUGAGGUAAUGGCUCACCAAGGCGACGAUCCGUAACUGGUCUGAGAGGAUGAUCAGUCACACUGGAACUGAGACACGGUCCAGACUCCUACGGGAGGCAGCAGUGGGAAUAUUGGACAAUGGGCGAAAGCCUGAUCCAGCCAUGCCGCGUGUGUGAAGAAGGUCUUCGGAUUGUAAAGCAACGUUUUAAGUGGGAGGAAGGGUUUGUAACUUAAUACGUUGCAACUUUGACGUUACCGAUAGAAUAAGCACGGCUAACUUCGAGCCAGCAGCCG